AGAGAUUCAGCUGUUCUGUAAUGAGUCGAUUGGACAUCAACUUCUGCUGUUGAUCACUAUACUUCAAAGAAUUCUACUAAUCCUUGAAAGAGGAUCACAGGCUCACUGGAAUAUCAGAGAGGACAUACAGAAAAGCAUGAAGAAGAAGACUUUUGCCAAAUAAUCUUGCACCAUAGAGACUGAAAGUCAUAGGGGUUGAUAUCUCCCUACUUCAGUGGGGUAUAGCAGAAGCAAUUAUAUGUAUAGUCCUGACAUAGUUAAUUGGGUAAUUUAUCUUCUUUCCAAAACCUGUAUCCAAGACAUAACUAUUACUACUAAGGUUCAUCAAAGUCUCCAAUCAUUUUCCAUUUUAAAUGAUUCACAGGGUCAAAGAGAUAAAGUUAGAAGAAACACAGAAUGUAUCUCCAAAGACUUGAUUCCUUGUAAGAAAUGUAAAAACAUGAUGGCACAAGUAAAUUUUUAAUCUUUCAGAGUUGAAGAUUAUCACUUUGGAAGAGAGAAUGUGGGACAUGAAUGUUUGUCUCUGUUAAUAAUGUCAGAAUAAUAUUAUAGUUUUCUGGAUUUCAGAGCUCAUUUACAGAAUUCUCUAAAUUGUGAGAAAUAUAGUAUGAGACUAUCUGAAGUGGGAGUGGGAAGUAAUGGCCAAAAUAUUUAGAUAUUUCUGAGUACAAUUUCUACAUAAAUAUGACCACUUUUUUGAUAAUUGGGAAACAUUUAAUAAAGUAGGUAAAAAUAUAAUAGCGCAUAGAUGAUCUUAAUAGAGUUUAGGUAUAGUAGACUGUUGGCAAUAUUUUCUCUAUCCUUGCCAACCUUAUAAAAAUUAUUCAGUCCAACCAUAGAGGGAAUGAAUAGAUUAUAGGGAGAAAUGGGUAGAGAGUCAGUAUGAAUGAAUGGUAUUUGAAGGAAAUGGGAAGAAAAUCCAUCUGGGGCCUGUCCUAUUCCUUUCUCUCUCCACCUCUUCCCUUAGCUCCCUACUUAAGGCAGAGAGAUGCAGUGAAUUAGAUCUAAAAUCUCCCAACAUGGAAGGAUGGUAAAAGUUAAAAUAAUUUGGUUGCCCAGCUAUGGGGCAGGGCAGAAGAAUAUAGUCAUUAGAGAAGGGUAGAAUCAGAAAAUGAGUGAUGGUAGAAGUAUCAGUAUUUAGAGAAGAAAAAAUACACUUAAUAAAAACAGUGCAAUCAGAUAAAUUAACACAUCUUAAAAAACUAGAAGUCUGAUUACAAAGGAUUAUGAAGUUCUUUUAACAAAUAUUACAAGAUUAAGAAAAGUGAAAAAAUGUUUGAUGAAAUACAAGAUGUGGAAAAUCUCAAGAAAGCAUGAAAUACCAGAGUAGUUCAAAAGAAAAAAAAUUGGAAUAUAUAUGUCAAGAGUGAUAGCUCUCAAUGCACUAAUAAAAAUCAAUUCGCAGAUUAGAAAAAAAAAUAAAACAACAAAAAUUCUAUGGGAUAGAAUCUUUCCAAGAAGUGAAAGAGAGAUUUGGAAUACCAAACUACUGAAGUGGAGGAAAAUCUGGCGGAUAAGGCAGCAAAGUUAAAAGUUAACAUGAUUUAAAUGUACAAAAGAGAGGAACAAACAGUUCUUAAAAGAAUAUUUGCAAACUAUUAACAACAAUGUGAAAGAAUGCUCCAAAUCACUAAAAUCAAAAGAAAUGAAAAUCCAAACAACCUUGAAAUUUUGCCUCACAGCUAGCAAAUUGGCAAAGAUGAUAAAAGAAGAGAAUAGUUGAUGUAGGAGGGGUUGUGGAAAGUUGGGCAUGCCAAUGCAUUAUUGGUGGAGCUGUGAAUUGAUCCAACUAUUCUCAAAAACAAUUUAAAAAUAUGUGAAGAAAGUGACUAAAACAAUCACACCACUUUUUCCCCCCUGCAUAUAAUAGUGCAUAUCUAUAUCUAUAGUUGAAUUUUUUUCUGGUUCUUUUUCAUAAUUUUAAGGACUGUAUCUCUGGUAGCAUGUGAGAAGAGGAAAACAAUGGGACAUGUAAAUGAUCCAAAAUAUAAAAAAAAUUAUAAAUAACAAUAUUAUCAAUGCAUUAAUUUUAAGAAACAUUUUGCUGAUAAACAUGCCUGCCUAUUAUGUAAUUUUAUUUUGUUUAUAUUUUUAGGUUAAAAUGUGAACAAUUUAAAUGAUAGUAUAAUAUAAUAUUUAUUUGUUACAUUAAUUUACUGUAUGUUUAUGAUUUAUUUCUGCUAUCAUUAAAAUAUAGUAAACUUAUAAGUAACCCAAGAAUUUUUUCAAGUAGAUUGUUUUAUGAAUAAUUUUUAGUCACUAAGAACUUUUUUUAUAAAGUUAGUUUAAAAAUGUAUGAGGUUUGGGAACUCCUGAUUUAAGACUUCAGAACCUCUGACUCUUGGUGUCAGGAGAUUUGUGUAUUGCAUAUUGGAAGAAGGGGAGUGAGCCCAUCUUGACUGAAUUAUCUAGAAUUACCUAUAAGGUGAAAAGUGUGCCUUGCCUGUUUUUUAAAACUUUUCCAUAAGCCUAUGAUGAUGAAUAAAGACAUAGUUGCAUUCCUG